GGCGCCUUCCCGCUACCGCCCUGUCCCGGAAGAGGCGUGUGCGAGCAGCGGGCCUUCAGCCAAUCAGGACCCCACGUUGAGAGAGCGCUCCUUGAGCUCGGCGGGCUAGAGCGCCGCCCAAGCUGCCUCCCCAACUCCGCCCGCGUUAGCCCCGCCUUCUUCCUGGAGGACUUUCUCCGCCCAGAACGGCCGAGCGGACUAAGCGCAUCCUCUGCUCCCGGCGGAGGGGAGAGUCAGGGCUUCGGGAUCUGGAAAUUAUUCCCCACGGCCUCCACAUUUGCUGCAAAUAAACCACCUUGUGUGACAA